rnacentral:rRNA from 1 species
GUGCUUAACACAUGCAAGUCGAACGGAAAGGCUUUCUUGCUUGCAAGAGAGUACUCGAGUGGCGAACGGGUGAGUAACACGUGGGUGAUCUGCCCCUAACUUCGGGAUAAGCUUGGGAAACUGGGUCUAAUACCGGAUAGGACCACAUUUUAGUGUGUGUGGUGGAAAGUUUUUUCGGUUAGGGAUGAGCCCGCGGCCUAUCAGCUUGUUGGUGGGGUAAUGGCCUACCAAGGCGUCGACGGGUAGCCGGCCUGAGAGGGUGGACGGCCACAUUGGGACUGAGAUACGGCCCAGACUCCUACGGGAGGCAGCAGUGGGGAAUAUUGCACAAUGGGCGCAAGCCUGAUGCAGCGACGCCGCGUGAGGGAUGAAGGCCUUCGGGUUGUAAACCUCUUUCGCUAGGGACGAAGCUUUUUUGUGACGGUACCUAGAUAAGAAGCACCGGCUAACUACGUGCCAGCAGCCGCGGUAAUACGUAGGGUGCGAGCGUUGUCCGGAUUUACUGGGCGUAAAGAGCUCGUAGGUGGUUUGUCGCGUCGUCUGUGAAAUUCCGGGGCUUAACUUCGGGCGUGCAGGCGAUACGGGCAUAACUUGAGUGCUGUAGGGGAGACUGGAAUUCCUGGUGUAGCGGUGGAAUGCGCAGAUAUCAGGAGGAACACCGAUGGCGAAGGCAGGUCUCUGGGCAGUAACUGACGCUGAGGAGCGAAAGCAUGGGGAGCGAACAGGAUUAGAUACCCUGGUAGUCCAUGCCGUAAACGGUGGGCGCUAGGUGUGAGCCUCUUCCACGGGGUUCGUGCCGUAGCUAACGCAUUAAGCGCCCCGCCUGGGGAGUACGGCCGCAAGGCUAAAACUCAAAGGAAUUGACGGGGGCCCGCACAAGCGGCGGAGCAUGUGGAUUAAUUCGAUGCAACGCGAAGAACCUUACCUGGGCUUGACAUGUACAGGAUCGGNUUAGAGAUAGUUUUUCCUUUUUAGGUCUGUAUACAGGUGGUGCAUGGUUGUCGUCAGCUCGUGUCGUGAGAUGUUGGGUUAAGUCCCGCAACGAGCGCAACCCUUGUCUUAUGUUGCCAGCACAUUUUGGUGGGGACUCAUGAGAGACUGCCGGGGUUAACUCGGAGGAAGGUGGGGAUGACGUCAAAUCAUCAUGCCCCUUAUGUCCAGGGCUUCACACAUGCUACAAUGGUCGGUACAACGCGCUGCGAGCCUGUGAGGGUAAGCGAAUCGCUGAAAGCCGGUCUCAGUUCGGAUUGGGGUCUGCAACUCGAGNCCAUGAAGUCGGAGUCGCUAGUAAUCGCAGAUCAGCAACGCUGCGGUGAAUACGUNCCCGGGCCUUGUACACACCGCCCGUCACGUCAUGAAAGUUGGUAACACCCGAAGCCCAUGGGCUAACCACGUUUGUUGAGGGAGUGGUCG